GGUGCCUGCGAUCCCCAAAACCCCAAAGGGCGUUUUUUACAGUGCUCUUUUAGCUCUGCUGACCGCGGAUGGCUUAAGUGUUAACAGCUCAGUGGGCCCUUUGCCUUUUCUCAUGAGUCGGCUGCCCUGUGCCAGCAAGGGCAAAGGGCCAGUGUAACAGCCUUUUGUAUCUGCACUCGUGGCUCCUGAGCUCCUGUUCGGCACACAGGAAAAAUGAGGUCGCACCAACAAACUGAAGGAUGGUAAAUGUUGAGGAUUUUAUUGCCAAUGAAAGCGGCUGUCACUGGGAGCUGAAAAGGUAAUGGAAAGCUGAAAAGCGGAUAAGGUGGGUAGGUACCUGAAGUCUGGCCAUCUACGGCAGCUGGAUUCUUCUCCAAAGUUAUACUGUCAAGCUGUCCCUCUGAAGCCAAGCCACUUCUCUUUGACAUCCAGCCGUAGUCUCUGCUCCUCUCCAACUGAGUAUGAGGGAGAUGUUUCCUAUUAUCCUUGAUAAUGUGCCAUGAACAUAUGAAAAAACAUAGAAACAUGAAGAAAACAAGAAGACAAAAAUCACUAACAUCUGGUUGGCUGUAUAGAAACAAAGCUGAUUCUGCCCUUUAAAGAUCUUGUUCCGAUGAGCAGGGAGAGGAGCCAAGAUGGCUGAAUAGGAACAGCUCCGGUCUACAGCUCCCAGAGUGAGCGACGCAGAAGACGGGUGAUUUCUGCAUUUCCAUCUGUGGUACCAGGUUCAUCUUACUAGGAACUGCCAGACAGUGGGCGCAGGACAGUGGGUGCAGCGCACUGUGCAUGAGCUGAAGCAGGGUGAGGCAUUG
rnacentral:lncRNA from 1 species